rnacentral:rRNA from 1 species
UAACUGAAGAGUUUGAUCAUGGCUCAGAUUGAACGCUGGCGGCAGGCUUAACACAUGCAAGUCGAGCGGG